rnacentral:rRNA from 1 species
UACGUAGGGUGCAAGCGUUGUCCGGAAUUAUUGGGCGUAAAGAGCUCGUAGGCGGUUUGUCGCGUCUGCUGUGAAAACCCGAGGCUCAACCUCGGGCCUGCAGUGGGUACGGGCAGACUAGAGUGCGGUAGGGGAGAUUGGAAUCCUGGUGUAGCGGUGGAAUGCGCAGAUAUCAGGAGGAACACCAAUGGCGAAGGCAGAUCUCUGGGCCGUAACUGACGCUGAGGAGCGAAAGCGUGGGGAGCGAACAGG